GCCCACGGCCAUACCAGCCCAAGAACGCCCGGUCUCAUCUGAUCUCGGAAGCUAAGAAGGCUUGGGCCUGGUUAGUACUUGGAUAGGAGACCUCCUGGGAAUUCCAGGUGCUGUAAGCU
ensembl:rRNA 5S_rRNA 5S ribosomal RNA